rnacentral:rRNA from 1 species
AACAGGAUUAGAUACCCUGGUAGUCCACGCCGUAAACGAUGAGUGCUAGGUGUUGGGGGGCUACGCCCCUCAGUGCCGAAGGUAACCCAUUAAGCACUCCGCCUGGGGAGUACGGCCGCAAGGCUGAAACUCAAAGGAAUUGACGGGGGCCCGCACAAGCGGUGGAGCAUGUGGUUUAAUUCAAAGCAACGCGAAGAACCUUACCAGGGCUUGACAUCCCGCUGACCCCUCCAGAGAUGGAGGUUUCCUUCGGGACAGCGGUGACAGGUGGUGCAUGGUUGUCGUCAGCUCGUGUCGUGAGAUGUUGGGUUCAGUCCCGCAACGAGCGCAACCCUUGUCGUUAGUUGCCAGCAUUUCGGAUGGGCACUCUAACGAGACAGCCGGUGAAAGCCGGAGGAAGGUGGGGAUGACGUCAAAUCAUCACGCCCCUUAUGUCCUGGGCUACACACGUGCUACAAUGGCUGGUACAAAGGGCAGCGAACCCGCGAGGGGGAGCCAAUCCCAAAAAGCCAGUCUCAGUUCGGAUCGCAGGCUGCAACUCGCCUGCGUGAAGCCGGAAUCGCUAGUAAUCGCGGAUCAGCAUGCCGCGGUGAAUAUGUUCCCGGGCCUUGUACACACCGCCCGUCACACCACGAGAGUUUGCAACACCCGAAGUCGGUGAGGCAACCUUUUAGGAGCCAGCCGCCGAAGGUGGGGCAGAUGAUUGGGGUGAAGUCGUAACAAGGUAACC